GAUGGAGAGAGACGCUUUUCCCCUUUUUAAUAUGUUGAGAUCAAAUUUCAAGCCAUGUAUUGAGAGGGAACCUGCCUUCAAUGAGUUGCUAGACGAUAUUGCGGAGAAGUUUUAUGGCGUACAGCGAAGGAAUCCUAUGGGGAUGUUUGGAGAUAUAUUCAAGAUGAUGGGGGCUGAGUAGUGACAUUCAUGAUCAGAGACUCUACUGCUUGAUCAUCAACUUCUACAGAAGAUUCCAAUAAUUAUAGCACCUUUUUUCAUAUAUAGAGCGUAUUCAUGUCGCGAACAAAAUCUCUGUAAUUUAUUGAUAAUGUUUAUUUUGAUGAAUAUGUAAUGAUUUGUAAAUGCUAGUUUCACAAUUUUGAAAAGUCUUCUGUCUCAAAAUUACUAGAUUAUGAAUGUUACUGACAAAAGAGGUUCAUAAUGCCAUCAAAUCAUUUAACUUAUUUUCCAA